CUCGUAGGCGGCUUGUCGCGUCUGCUGUGAAAAACCCCGGAGCUCAACUCCGGGCCUGCAGUGGGUACGGGCAGGCUAGAGUGCGGUAGGGGAGACUGGAAUUCCCGGUGUAACGGUGGAAUGUGUAGAUAUCGGGAAGAACACCAAUGGCGAAGGCAGGUCUCUGGGCCGUUACUGACGCUGAGGAGCGAAAGCGUGGGGAGCGAACA
rnacentral:rRNA from 1 species